CUAUCUGCAGAGAUGAUGAGGGCUACCAACACUAAAGAGGACGACGACGACGAUGACGAUGAUGGAAUCCAAUUCUAGCAUGAAUCCUCUUCAUGUAUUCUUCGACAUUGAAUCAAUGAGUCACCAUGUUUAAAAGACGGAAGGUCUGAUUCACAUGGAAAGAAAACACUAACUCGUUUGUCUUCCUUUCCUCCGAUGGCAACCUUGAGCUAUCUCGUCUCUUGUUGCAAGAUCAAUCAAUUGCAUGCCAGCCGUAUUUAUCCUUUAAAGUACGAUCAGAAUUAUCUAGGAGGUUCAUCAACAGGUCUUCCACGAGCUUUUUGGAUGACCAAUCACAAGUUUGGAUACCUGCAAAUCUCCCGGAGAUGAACAAGUUUAUAGCUAAAUCCUGAGCCUUCUUUGGGAGGAAGCAUGAAAACUUCAAAGUAAUCACGGUUUCCAGUAGCAACCUUUAAUGUGGGAGAUAUGAGAAUAAUUUAACAAAAUAAUAAGUAGAAUAUGCCUUGCAUAAUGAUUUAGAUUUAGACAAUCAGAAGGAACUAAUUUGCAUAAGAGAGGACUUUUUUCUGGCCAUUAGCUUCAUAGUGUAAAAUGUAAACUGGUAUUGUAAUACGAAUUUCCAUUUAUUGUCUCGAUUAUUUAAAGUAAAUUCCCACAUUUGUAGCUUCAUCUUUUAUUUGAUAGUUUACCAUCUAAAGAGCCAUUUACUUU